CCUACGGUGGGCAGCAGUGGGGAAUAUUGGGCAAUGGGCGCAAGCCUGCCCACGCAACGCCGCUGGAAGGAAGAAGGCUUUCGGGUUGUAAACUUCUUUUCUCAGGGACGAAGAAAGUGACGGUACCUGAGAAAUAAGCCACGGCUAACUACGUGCCAGCAGCCGCGGUAAUACGUAGGUGGCAAGCGUUAUCCGGAUUUAUUGGGGGUAAAGGGCGUGUAGGCGGGAGCGCAAGUCAGAUGUGAAAACUCAGGGCUCAACCCUGAGCCUGCAUUUGAAACUGUGUUUCUUGAGUGCUGGAGAGGCAAUCGGAAUUCCGUGUGUAGCGGUGAAAUGCGUAGAUAUACGGAGGAACACCAGUGGCGAAGGCGGAUUGCUGGACAGUAACUGACGCUGAGGCGCGAAAGCGUGGGGAGCAAACAGGAUUAGAUACCCCAGUAGUC
rnacentral:rRNA from 1 species